UACGUAGGGUGCAAGCGUUGUUCGGAAUCAUUGGGCGUAAAGCGCGUGUAGGUGGCUAGUUAAGUCGGGUGUGAAAUCCCUGGGCUCAACCGAGGAAGUGCACUCGAAACUGGCUGGCUAGAAGAUGGUAGAGGAAGGUGGAAUUCCAAGUGUAGAGGUGAAAUUCGUAGAUAUUUGGAGGAAUACCGGCGGCGAAGGCGGCCUUCUGGGCCAUUCUUGACACUGAGACGCGAAAGCGUGGGGAGCAAACAGG
rnacentral:rRNA from 1 species